rnacentral:rRNA from 1 species
UACAGAGACUGCAAGCGUUAUUCGGAUUCACUGGGCGUAAAGGGUGCGCAGGCGGUUGUGUGUGUCAGGUGUGAAAGCCCGGGGCUUAACCCCGGAAUUGCGCCUGAAACUACAUGACUAGAGCAUUGGAGAGGGUAGCGGAAUUCACGGUGUAGCGGUGAAAUGCGCAGAUAUCAGGAAGAACACCCGUGGCUAAGGCGGCUCUCUAGUACGGUACUGACGCUGAGACGCGAAAGCGUGGGGAGCGAACAGG